AAUGACCCGAAACAUAACUUUUGACUACUUUUUCUGUUUUCUUCCUUGUCCCUAGAUCCUCUCCCUAGCUCUUACAACAAAUACCCAGUUCCUGUGGGUUUGUAACAUCUCGUUAUUCCUGAAGGAACAGAUCUGGAAGAAGGCAGACUUUUCUGUAAGCCCAAAAAUUCUUCAGGGUUCCUGGUAGUCGCCCAGCAUGGCCAGGGUCUCAAACCGUCUAAUUCAAUCUGCUCUAAUGGAGUCAAGCUGACAGUAAAGAGAAGAUCAGAAACAGCGAGUCUAAUCUGCCUAUAUGGGAGAAAAUUCAGCAAACAGGAACCAGCUCAGAGACCAAGAAAACCAAACAAGGUUAUUAACCCACAUCAGAACACCAGAGAGAUAACAAGAAGUUGGUUCCAAGAUGAAAAAUGCAAGAGAGAAGCAGAUUGUGGAAUAAAAGAGAGGAUGUUCCAUGUUCAUAUACACCUGAUUGUAGUUAGAGCCUCACCCUUCCUUUCUAUCUCAGCAGGGACCUUCUGGAACCUGAUCUGUCAUAAUCCUCUGAGGUUUUAUUCUCAUUCCUCUGCAUCCCCCCCUGAAAAAAAUCUUAUUUUCUUACAAUUUCAGG
rnacentral:lncRNA from 1 species